GCGGCCUGGAGGUUCUCCUUAUUAAUACCCACCAGGCGUCGCGGCGCUUGGCGGGCCGGACUUUGAGCGCCCCUCUUCAACUUCAGCCCUCGCUCCCUGCUAGCUGGGGUUGCCGGCUUCUCUCGGUCCGGCGUUGACUGGAAAAGGCCACGAUCCUGGUGCCAGGUUCGGCGGUGCCAGUGGCCAAGCAUCCGGACGUCCUGCUGGCACAGAAUCAAAUGGUGAUUGGUGAACGAAAGCGGAGUAACUGCCACGCACUCAAGGAAUUACAAGGAGAAUGAUUCUCCUCCUCCCACUCCACUUGCCAGGCUGUGACCAUAGAAAGAUGAAUAAACCAUCAUCUGUGCCCUCAAGUUGCUCACAAGAUAAAUAGGAGACAGAGAUAGAUCCCCCUCUGGAGUAUAGAGCAGAUGGUGGGAGAGAAUCUGCCUAUCCCCUGGAGAAGGAAAUGGCUACCCACUCCAGUAUUUUUGCCUGGAGAGUCGCAUAAAUCGAGGAGCCUGGCAAGCUACAGUCCAUGGGAUCACAAAGACUUGGACAUGACUGAACGACUAAGCACACAUGCAAAUCAUUGAUUCAGCUACUUUUACAAUGAGUUCAAAGAACUUAAUCAAUAGAAAUGCACCUUCUGAGUAAUUUAGGUUCAAAACUAUGUUAUGCUGUAUUGUAUAUUUGAAUGUUGCUAAGAGAGUAGCUUUUUAAAAGUUCUCAUCACAAGAAAAAAAGAACUAACUAUGUGAGGUGAUGGAUGUUAACUAAAAUUACAGUCAUGUAUUAAAUCAUUAUGUUAUACACCUUAAACUAAUACAAUGUUCAAUGUGAAUUAUAUCUCCUUAAACCCCUCCAGGGGAUGGAGAAACUAUAUUACUUAAUAAGAAAAUGAUAUUAUUCAUUUUAAACUGAAUAUUCAUUAUUACGAUCUAUUUUCUUUUGCCUAUCUGGAAUCCAGCUAAAUUUAUUUUUUUGUUUGUUUAGUAUUUUUAAAUAUUUUUAUUGAAGUAUAGUUGAUUUACAAUAUUGUGUUAGUUUUAAGUGUACAACAAAGUGAUUAAGGAUACAUAGAUACAUGUAUUUGUGUGUCUAUAUACAUAUAUAUUCUUUUUCAGGUUCUAUUCCAUUAUAGAUUAUUACAGAGUAGUGAGUCUAGUGCCUUGUGCCAUACAGUAGGUCCUUGUUGUUUAUCUGUUUCGUAUACAGUUUUGUGUAUAUGUUAAUCCCAAGCUCCUUAUUUCUCUCCUCCUAUGCAUUCCCCUUUGGUAACCAUAAGUUUGUUUUCUGUGUCUGUGAGCCUACUUCUGUUUCAAGUUAAUUUCUUAUUUGUUAAACUGCAAAAUUUAUAUGUUGUAAACUAGUCACCAUAAAUUACUAUUACUAAAAUAUUUUUGAAAUGUAAAUGUCAUUACAUAGCACUUAUGGCAUCAAUAAGUGGACUCGAUGGACGUGAGUCUGAGUGAACUCCGGGAGUUGGUGAUGGACAGGGAGGCCUGGCGUGCUGCGAUUCAUGGGGUCGCAAAGAAUCGGACAUGACUGAGCGACUGAACUGAACUGAUGAGUAUUUUUGAAUGAUUAAAUCCAUGUUUAUUAAAUUAUUUACAUAUAACCUAGUGAUUUUAUCCUGCAUCUCUGAUUAGUUUUAUACUUUUCAAAAUUAGGAUUUCCUCUGAAUUCUCAAAAAGAUACCUAUCAGCACAAAAGUAAAGAAGAUGUAUGAUGAAUAUUGAUAAAAUUUGAAAAGUAAGGGUUGCAUUUUUUUAUCUUCUACAUUUUCUCUGCCCCAGCCUUUCACUUUCUCCCAAAGGAAUAUUCUAAGGGGGAAAAAAAAAACGGUCUAAGAGUAUCUCAGUCAACAAAAUAAAUGGUCUCUCACCCACUUUUACUUCUGGCCCACAUAGGCUGAGAUCACCAUGGAAUUUUUUUCCCUUACAAUACAGACCACUUAUACCAUUUUAUUUUACCCCAAGUCUGUGUGUGCUUUUUUUUUUUUAAUUUAUGUAUUUAUUUUGGCUAUGCUACGUCUUUGUUGCUGCAGGCAGGCUAUCUUCAGUUGCAGGGAGUGGGGACUACUCUUCAUUGCGGUGCACAAGUUUCUCAUUGU